UUUUUUGAGAGGAUGGGGUAGGGGAAAAGAGGGGGAGAGAGAAAAUCUUAAGCAGGCUCCCACUCAGCACAGAGCCCAAGGCAGGGCUCAAUCUAACAACUCUUGAUCAGGACCUGAGCCAAAACCAAGAGUCAAACACUUAACCAACUGAGCCACCCAGGUGCCCCAACAACAUUUAAAUUUGAUAGUGAUAUGUAAUCAGAAUUUCUCACCUAAAAAAAAUGUCAAGUUACCUUCCCUGGAUAUUUACCAAUUGACCAUCAGGGAACCACGGAGAUGUGGAUUAAGAUUCUCUAUCCACCAGUAACACGUUGUUUCAUCUUGCAUACAUAUUUGAAUUCUUCCCUCUCUCCCUCUGGCUGCCUUCCUACCUUCAUUCUUAAUUUAUUUGUGAAUUCAUUUAACUUCUAUUGAGGGUAUCACAUGUGCUGGGCAUUAUGGUUGCCUCUAAGGAUAAAAAGAUGAACAAAAUAGUUUUUCCCCAGAGGAGAUCUAAUCCUUUGAGUGAAAGAAAAAAAAGAAACCUAUACUAUAAAAUGUUAUAAGAAACAUUCAUUCAGAGUUCUCUUGAAACAGACUAUGGGGUAUAUAACUCAGCCUCCCGGGGAUGGUGCUACAUGAACUGAGCUUUGAAAAUCAAAGGCAUUACUCUAGAAGAGGCUGUGUGGGUGGGGAGGUAGAGUGAGGUAGAUAUUUCUACCAGUAGAAAUAGAAUUGACAUGUCACAUCCUCUGUAAUUACUUAGCUAUGGGUCUAGGGUAGGUAGCUAAUAAAGAAGUAAUGGAUUCUUCAAAGUUGGGUGCAUACACUCAAGGGUGCAUAAGACAUAACAGUACAGGAAUAAAACAUUAAAACUUCUCUUAUGAUUAUGCUUACCACCUUUUUUUUUCAAAAUUCUAUUUUUGAACCUAUUAUGAAUGAACAUAUUUUAAUAUUCUAAGCCUUGUACAUGUAUAUGACUGGUAAAAGAAAAUAAAUAUACACUGGGUAUAUGUCCUCCUAAAAUUUUAAUUAGCAGUAUAGCAGUAAAAGAAAAAGAAUGAACCUCAUAUCCUGUAUCAUUCUCAAAGUGAUGCACAGUAACAGAGGAUUUUAAGCAAAUGAAUAAUGAUCAGAUUUUUUUUUAAGAUUUUAUUUAUUUGAGAGAUAGUGAGAGAGAGUGUGUGAGCUGAGGGAAGGGCACAGAGUAAGGGAGAAGAAGAGGGAGAGAAUCUCAAGCAGACUGCACACUGAGCACUCCAUCUCAAGACCCUGAGAUCACAACUUGAGUGGAAACCAAGAGUUGGACACCCAACCAACUGAGCCACCCAGGUGGACUUUAAAAAGUCACU
rnacentral:lncRNA from 1 species